GAAAAAGGAAGCUCUUCAAAGGAUCUGCAGUUGGGAGUAUGCCAAUUGUAUAAAUCUCUGGGUUGGUUUUAUAGCACGCAAUGUACGGGAUUAUGAUCUUCAGGCCUUUUUCUUCACUAUGGUUCAACUUAUAAAUGGAGUGGUGCGCCUGUUUCCUGGACCGAGAUAUUUCCCUUUAAGACUCAAUUGCAUUCAAUGGCUUAAUGAUCUGUCUAAUUCUACUGGAGUUUUCAUCCCUAUUGCUUCAUUUGUAUUGGAUGUUUUGGAAUAUAAAACAGUCGGAGAGCGUGGAAAACCUGGACCUGCUCUCUUCUUUCAGUCUGUUCUAAAGUUGCCAAAGAGUUGCUUGAAGUCUCAGACAUUCCAAGAUGAAUGCAUUACAUCUGCAAUUGAACAACUAUCAUCACACUUUUUACAAUGGAGCUACCACAUUUCUUUCCCUGAUCUAGCAACUGUUCCACUCAUCCGUCUGAAAAAGUUUAAUGAGUCAAAGACAAAAGAAAGUCAAUGUCGUGUGGUAAAACAUUUGAUUGAGCAGGUGGAGAAAAAUGUUGAUUCUGUGCAAAAGAAAAGAAAUGAGGUUGCCUUUUCACCAAAUGAUCAUCAAUCUGUU
rnacentral:misc_RNA from 1 species